rnacentral:rRNA from 1 species
UACGUAGGGUGCGAGCGUUGUUCGGAAUUACUGGGCGUAAAGCGCUUGUAGGUGGCUCUGCAAGUCAGAUGUGAAAGCCUGGGGCUUAACCCCAGAAGUGCAUCUGAAACUGCAGAGCUUGAGUAUGGGAGAGGGUGACGGAAUUCCUGGUGUAGUGGUGAAAUACGUAGAUAUCAGGAGGAACAUCGGUGGCGAAGGCGGUUGCCUGGCCCAAUACUGACACUGAGAAGCGAAAGCGUGGGGAUCAAACAGG